rnacentral:lncRNA from 1 species
AGUACAAGAAGACGGGAACAAGAAGGAACUACUCAAGAGAGGACAGAGAAGGCUUAGGAAAAGGAAAUGCAGCAGGGAUUGAGGAAUGUAGGUUUUGGUUUUAAGUUUGCAACUCAAGAACAAGAACCUUUUGGUUUUUGAGUUUGUUAAUUUUAUCCAUCCUGUUCUUUAUUUGUUCUUUCAUCUUUUUGUUCCGUUUUACUCUGCCCUGUCCACGUACUUUUAUGCAUGGUUUGUGAAAAAUCAGUAUAGUUGUGCUGGGAAAUGUCUUUGUGGCUUGUGCUUGUUCGCAGCCGUGUAUGAGUGGAGGUGUUAAAUUUUGCAGGAUCAGGCUUCAACAUGACAUCUUGUUUAAUUCGUUGUGCUCAAGUAACCUUACAUGGGGAAACUGUUGGAAAUUCUCUCUCUUAAUUUGAUAUUGGUAUUUUAUAUUGAUUAUUUAAUAAAUAGCUUU